rnacentral:rRNA from 1 species
GAUCGAGGGAGCUUGCUCCCUGAGAUUAGCGGCGGACGGGUGAGUAACACGUGGGCAACCUGCCUAUAAGACUGGGAUAACUUCGGGAAACCGGAGCUAAUACCGGAUACGUUCUUUUCUCGCAUGAGAGAAGAUGGAAAGACGGUUUACGCUGUCACUUAUAGAUGGGCCCGCGGCGCAUUAGCUAGUUGGUGAGGUAAUGGCUCACCAAGGCGACGAUGCGUAGCCGACCUGAGAGGGUGAUCGGCCACACUGGGACUGAGACACGGCCCAGACUCCUACGGGAGGCAGCAGUAGGGAAUCUUCCGCAAUGGACGAAAGUCUGACGGAGCAACGCCGCGUGAACGAAGAAGGCCUUCGGGUCGUAAAGUUCUGUUGUUAGGGAAGAACAAGUACCAGAGUAACUGCUGGUACCUUGACGGUACCUAACCAGAAAGCCACGGCUAACUACGUGCCAGCAGCCGCGGUAAUACGUAGGUGGCAAGCGUUGUCCGGAAUUAUUGGGCGUAAAGCGCGCGCAGGUGGUUCCUUAAGUCUGAUGUGAAAGCCCACGGCUCAACCGUGGAGGGUCAUUGGAAACUGGGGAACUUGAGUGCAGAAGAGGAAAGUGGAAUUCCAAGUGUAGCGGUGAAAUGCGUAGAGAUUUGGAGGAACACCAGUGGC